GAUGAACGCUGGCGGCGUGCCUAAUACAUGCAAGUCGAGCGAACAGACGAGGAGCUUGCUCCUCUGACGUUAGCGACGCACGGGUGAGUAACACGUGGAUAACCUACCCAUAAGACUGGGACAACUACGGCAAACCGGAGCUAAUACCGGAUAAUAUAUUGAACCGCAUGGUUCACUAGUGUCUGAUGGUCUAGCUGUCAUUGCUAGAUCUUUCCGCGCCGCAUUUGCUAGUUGGUAAGGUAACGGCUUACAAAGACGACGAUGCGUAGCCGACCUGAGAGAGUGAUAGGCCACACUGGAACAGAAACACGGUCCAGACUCCUACGGGAAGCAGCAGUAGGGAAUCUUGCGCAAUGGGCGAAAGCCUGACGGAGCAACGCCGGGUGGGUGAUGAGAGUCUUGGGAUCGUAAAACUCUAUGAUUAGGGAAGGACAACUGUGUUAGUAACUGUGCAAGUAUUGACGGUACCUAAGCAGAAAGCCACGGCUAACUACGUG
rnacentral:rRNA from 1 species